rnacentral:rRNA from 1 species
GACGAACGCUGGCGGCGUGCUUAACACAUGCAAGUCGAACGGAAAGGCCCUGCUUUUGUGGGGUGCUCGAGUGGCGAACGGGUGAGUAACACGUGAGUAACCUGCCCUUGACUUUGGGAUAACGUCAGGAAACUGGGGCUAAUACCGGAUAGGAGCUCCUGCGGCAUGGUGGGGGUUGGAAAGUUUCGGCGGUUGGGGAUGGACUCGCGGCUUAUCAGCUUGUUGGUGGGGUAGUGGCUUACCAAGGCUUUGACGGGUAGCCGGCCUGAGAGGGUGACCGGCCACAUGGGGACUGAGAUACGGCCCAGACUCCUACGGGAGGCAGCAGUGGGGAAUAUUGCACAAUGGGCGGAAGCCUGAUGCAGCAACGCCGCGUGCGGGAUGACGGCCUUCGGGUUGUAAACCGCUUUCGCCUGUGACGAAGCGUGAGUGACGGUAAUGGGUAAAGAAGCACCGGCUAACUACGU